rnacentral:lncRNA from 1 species
UAAUAGUUACCGCCGUUCCAAGAAAUAGUAUAUAGUCCAAAAAAAUAGUGAGAUAAUGAUCGUCAGCCCGAAAUAUCAUUUAAGAAUCUUUUGUGUUUUCAAAACAUAGAAUUAUGGCUGAGUUUACAAAAUUAGUAUUAAAAACCCUGGACUGAAUUCAAAUAGUAUGCAAAUCAUGCAAACGCUGAAAUAUCAAUCUCCAAAGGAUUCAACAAGUCGGCCCAAGGCCCAAACAUGGAAUCAAUCCCAGAUAACAUCAAUAUAGGGUGUGAAGCACUCGCCAAUAUAGUAUAAAUCCCUCGGAUUGAAUCGAGUCACAAUUUCCCACAUAUAUGACCCUGCACUAGCCAUGGAGUUCGUGGCUCGCCUCAUAUAGUGUCACAAUGUGAUGUACCUGGGUUCCAAAUAAUCGGAAAUAAGCCCCAAGUAUGGAAAUGAGCCCAAGUCAUAAUAAUAACAACAAAACAUUUACAAUAUAGCGGUAAACCAACAACCGGGAUGGACCAAGUCACGAUCCCCAACAGUGCUCUACCCCACGCUCAGGUCCAGCGUGCAAGAGGGUGUGCAAAUCUGGGGUUUCAAACCCUCAGGAUAUCAUUCCCAAAUAUUACUCACCUCGAACCGGCAAAAUCUCUAGCCCGCGAUGCCAUUGCUCCUCAAAUCAGCCUCCACACAAUCGAAUCUCAAAAUGAGCUUUCCCAAAAAUAAAACGAGCUACUAUCAAUCGGAACUACAAGCGGAACCUCGAACCCGAACAUAUGGAGUAAAAGACAUUCUCGUCUUCUGGAACUAAAACCUCGCGCUAAGAAUAUGUCCACCCCUUGAUGCUAUGCAAUCUGAUAGCUUGCUACGAUUCCUACUUCAUCCUCACGAGAGAAUAUUUCCAAAGUUAACAAAGAAGCUUUUAGACAAUCCUAUUUCUUGCCGCCAACCAAAUCAGAAACCACACCGACGAUCUCGAACGGAAUUUAUCGACCUAAAAAAACUUCACCGGAUAAACUGGAACCUCUUGAACCCAACUCGAAAUUCUAGCUAAACUCAAUACUCCAUAAUCUGCUAGUUUCGAAGAUUAUAUAUGGAUCGGGGAUGGUCUCCUUCUUAGCUUUGUUAGUAAUUGAGCAGAUGAAGUUUUCCUUAUAAACUCUUAACGUUGUCAAAAGAUGCAAAGUUCAAUAAUUAAUUCUACAUUUUUCCCUUAUAUGUGUUGCCGCCGUAAAUCCUUUUUGUUUUCAGCCGCACUUGAUUUGUUGUCUUUUGGAUUUCCGUUCACAACUAGGAAGAUAGCCGAUUUGUUUUUUUUCUUUUUUUAAGAAAUCCGGGGUCUGCUUUUGGUGUUUUGCGGGUGUUCAAGGUUCUAGGUGUAGGAGUUGAGAUUCUUUUCUUCUUCCUUUUUUUUUUUCUCACUUAAAACUUUCUAAAAGAUGCCCCAGUUUGUACUCU